UGCAAUUAAUCCCACGUCGACUAAAAUAUGUACAUGGUUUCUCUUUCAAAGCCUAUAUAUACCGCAUGCUCAGCCUCUAUGAACAUCAAUUCGUAGCGUGCAAGCCAUAUUGAGUCUACCUUUGUAGACUUGGAAAGCAUGGAAAUGAAGGUAAUGUCUUCUUCUUUUCUUGUGCUUUUCUUGUUUUGUUGUCCUUUUUUCUUCUUUGUAGGUCAACAGAAAAAGAUAUAUUCUUGUUCAACAAGAUGGUCCACACAUGAAGAAGGCAAUCUUAGGGUGUGAGGGGAUGAGUACUCAUCUUUGCCCGACUAUCGGAGAGAUUACUCUCAAUGUGGCUCGACUAUCAGCGAGACCAACUUAAGGUACAAAGGGACUUAUAUGUCCACCUUAAGAUUGGAAGACUUAUAUGUCCACAGAAUGUGGAUUGACUAUCGGAGAGAUUACUCUCAAAAUGACCCGAUUCUUGGAGAGAUUACUCUAAAUGUAGCCCAAUUCUUGGAGAGAUUACUCUCAAAAUGACCCGAUUCUUGGAGAGAUUACUCUCAAUGGGGCCCAAUUCUUGGAGAGAUUACUCUCAAAAUGGCCCGAUUCUUGGAGAGAUUACUCUCAAUGUGGUCCAAUUCUUGGAGAGAUUACCCCUCCAAAUGGCCCUACUACUAGAGAGAUUACUCUCAAUGUGCAAAGUUAUAGUUAAUUUCAAGGACAAAUCCGCGAGGAGGCCAACUGAAGGUGCAAAGGGACUUAUAUGUCCACCUUAAGAUUGAAAAGUUAUAAAGCUUCAACUCGAAGAUGACAUCGACCUGAACACUUGAAAAACUUCGAAUAUUUAGCGAACUUUGCAGGCUUCAACUCAAAUAUUCGGAGGGCUUAAACAAUUCAACUUUAAGACCGGCGAAUUUGAAGGCUGAAACUUGAAAACCGACGAACUUGAAGAUUUUAACUUUGAGACUUGGAGGGCCUAAAUAUUUCAGCUUGAAGAUCAGCGAAUUUGAAGACUUCAACUUGAAGACCGACAGACUUGAAGACUUCAACUUUGAGACUUGGAGGGCCUAAAUAUUUCAACUUGAAGAUCGGCGAAUUGAAGACUUCAACUUGACCGACGGAGUUGAAGAUUUCAACUUGGGGACUUCAACUUGAUAAGAUCGGCGAAUUUGAAGACUUCAAUUUGAAGACUAACGGACUUGAAGACUUCAACUUUGAGACUUGGAGGGCUUGAAUAUUUCAGCUUCUUUUUUGCUUUACAUUGUUCGACUUUUAUCUAAGUCGCAUAAUUUUCAGCUUUACGUGCUUGUAACAAAUGAUUCAUAUCUUGUCGUGGGAAAGUCUAAAUAAUGAACCGUUUGAUGACUUCAAUAUCUAAAAUAUAGCCAAUAUUCAGAAUCAAAAGCCUUCAGAAUAUUGCCGGAUAAUAUUUUAAAACCAACUUUAGAUUUCACCAUGUUGAAAAUUUUAGAUUUGCGCAGUCUCACCAAAAAAUUUAUGUAUCGGUAUAGAAAUAUUAGAAUUUCAAACCGUUUGAUUUCAAGAAAACUAGACUUCAAUAUCUAGAACAUAUCCAAAAUUUUCAAUCGAACAAUUUCAGAAUUGUCCCAGAUAAUAUUUCGAAAUCAACUUUACAUUGUAC
rnacentral:lncRNA from 1 species